AUGAACAGACAGCUAAUUCAUGGAGGCCUCACGAGCCAUUCAGAUUCAAAUCCAAAUCCAUUCCUGCAUGCAUCAGGUUUUGGAUGGAUGCAUUUCACCAGCCACAUUUCGAUUCAAAUUCCACCUGGCCUAUGCAUGACAUACAAAUUCCAGGUCGAAGCCCAUCAUAGAUUACUCACCUGUAUAAAGCUUACAAUCAAACCACCAGCGUCUCUAGCUGCUCAGGUUAGCAAUCAACCCGUCAUCCUACUUGUUUCUCCAACAGCUGCUACUGCUACUAGUACUACAAUACAUACACAUACAGCCCAAGCACUAGGCCUACUAAAGAUGAGCAACACUAGCUACACUACACGGCAUACCAUACACAAAAGGUCGGGGGAACAUGCGUAUACACAGGAUGCAGAGUGA
rnacentral:rRNA from 1 species